GAGCAGGGUUGUAUCAGAGUCACCUCUUUCAUCUGCAAAGGGUGCUUUGUGCGGUCGUGGACAGGAAAGGGAAAUCCUCGUGUCGCGGAGCAGUGAGGGAAGUAGAGCGUAAACCUUUGGAGGAACCUGUCACAGGAAAGAGCUCCUUCUGGAACUGUUCAGCACUCGGUAGGCAACUCGGUGACUGGCUUGAUCUACUUCUGAGGUGCUGAGGCAAGGGGGCUGCUGUUUGAAACGAUAGUAUUGUAAA